UAGCAAACAGUCAAUUAUAAAAUGUAAACAGAACCUCUUGACCUCUAAUACUCUUUGCAGUUUCAUUACUUGAGCUUUUAAGGAGAACCAAUGAAAUGUUUUUCACAGUGUAUAAAUUUACAAGUGUAUUGUACUGUAAAUCUGUUUUCUUAAUCCUACUAAUCAGACCUGGGUCAAAGCAAGGUUCAAACCACUACGUUACAUUUAAGACAGUUGAAAUUCUCACAUGAAAAAAAAAGAAGUGAAUCGCCUAAACACUUAGCAUAGAAGGUGUUUUGUGAGCUGUAUGUUUUAGAAGUUGUGCCUGACUUCGGAGGAUGACCAAAAAAAAAAAUAAUGCUUUUAUUUGUGAAACCUGAAUUGAUUUGAAUAUCUAGACUCUAGCUGGUGAACUCGGUGCUGACCCAGGUGUGAUGUUCAUCGGUAUAACUGUAUAUUGCGAUGAAUCUUUUGCAUAUUGAUUCUGCACUGCCAAACACCUUCUCUCUGUCUGUCUCUUGUGCUCUUGUGGUGGUAGCACUCUCUCUCUCUCUCUGGGUGUCUCUCUCAGCAAUGGAGGUCAGUUUACUUCUAGCUCCAUCACUACAGGUAGAAAAAUAUUCCUGGAAAGCAUAAAUCAGCCGGCUCUAAUGAACCGUUCAUGAGCUCCAAGAGAUUCGGCCACCUCUGGUUUGUGCUGCCUGCUGUUGUUCGAGUUAUUAGAGGGAACAGGCAGCAGCUCUGCAACACAAUGCCCUGCAGCCUGUGCGACAACUCUUUUUAUUACCAUCACUAUCAGGGUAUUGUGGUCCAAUGUGUAAACCUGUCCAGGGAUUGUAGCUUUUAUGGCCUUGUUCUGGCCCAUACGUUAAAUCUCUUUCUGCUCUCUGAUGGGACUUGUUGUGAACUCGCCUCUAAACCUGAUUAAUCUUUUUUCUGCAUAUUUCUGGAAGUAUAGCUCAUAAGUGGCUCAGUGUGUAGUAACGUGGUUGAAACUAUUGAUGAAGUGAUUCUUGUUAAAUCAGUCAGUGAGACGUUUAUUCUGAAACUUUGUGAGUAUCCUCUUCACUCUGAGCAAAACGUGUCUGUAUUUGAUACCUGAAAAUGUAAGCACACAACCACUAUUGUCUCCAAGUCUAGUCACUGGUUUCUAAAUAGCUUUUUAUAUAGCCAAAAAAACUGUCCCUUUGUUUAUCAAAGAACUUUAUCUUGAAAACUGUAUAUUAAAUUCCUAAAUGUACUAUUACUGUGGU
ensembl:lncRNA